rnacentral:misc_RNA from 1 species
CGCACAUUGCGCCCCCUGGCAUUCCGGAGGGCAUACCUGUUCGAGCGUCAUUACACCACUCAAGCCUGGCUUGGUCUUGGGCGACGGGGCCGCUUCUGGCCCCGCGCCCCAAUGUCUCCGGCUGGACGUUCUCUCUCGCAGCGUUGUGGCAACAUGUCCGCUGGCGAGACGGGGACGGCCAUGCCGUCAAAACCUCUCCUUCAAAGGUUGACCUCGGAUCAGGUAGGGAUACCCGCUGAACUUAA